GGUCAAUGUUUGUUUUUCUGUGAGCUGUGGACUGACAGGGAAUUUUCCAUUCUAGCCACAGUCCAGAUUCAGGUGAUUGAGUCAAAAGUGUCCCAGUGUUCAGUGGAUGAACACCCUUACCAGUGCCCAAAUUCCUGUUCACCACAUAGGGAGCUGAUUGAGACACAGGGAUACAACAAGACCUGAGGCCUGUACCAUGAGCUGGUUUCGGUGGCUAGUCAGGGCUGGUGCUGAAAGCAGUGGCAGCUCAGCAGGACUCCUACCCACCUGCUGGGAGAUUUUCUCCAGGAAAUACUGCUCGAUCAGCUCAAAGGAGGAGCACUUGUUCAGACGCAACUCAUCGUCCAGGGCCUGAUGAAAGAGGGAAAUCAUUUUGUUAGCAGCAUUGGUCAGUACCACUGGUCAGGGGCAGUCCUAGGGUCAGCGGAUAUUUGGGGUUUAGUGCAUACCAAAAUGAAUGCAUGUGGGGCCAUCCUUUGACAUUUGAAAUAUUGGAAUAUAAUACAUUUUAUUAUACAUUUUGGAGCAUUAUGAUAAAUGAGUAAUUCUCUCAGUAUUACUAGAUCUAAGACUAAAAAGGUCCACUAACCUUAAUCUCAGACUCAGACCUAAACAAUGGUUGGAAAUCAUUGCAUUUUAAAACACUGUAUUUAAAAAUAAUUUUGUCUCUUAUGGCUUUCCAUAGUCUAAUGCACACUGUAACCUGAUGGCAAUAUGAUGUCACUUGCCGGGUGUUUUUAAGUGUUGUUUUGAAGUUAGCAAGCUGUUAAAAAUAUA